CAGAGGGAAGAGGGGGGAGAGGAUGUGCUCCAGCCCUAAGAUCAGAUGUCGGGCACAGGUGCUGGCAGCGGAGCAGCGCCGCAGCCCCCGCUGACUCAGAUUAGCACCGUUGAUGGAGACAUCUAUUCACCAUGCUAUACUUGAGAAACAGAGCCAGGACACUGAAGAUACAAGGAAAGUGCAUGAAGACAGGGAUACAG